AGUGGACGCUGGCGGUAGUCCUAACACAUGCAAGUCGAACGGCAGCACAGUAAGAGCUUGCUCUUACGGGUGGCGAGUUGCGGACGGGUGAGGAAUACAUCGGAAUCUACUUUUUCGUGGGGGAUAACGUAGGGAAACUUACCCUAAUACCGCAUACGCCCUCCGGGUGAAAGCAGGGGAUCUUCGGACCUUGCGCGAUUGAAUGAGCCGAUGUCGGAUUAGCUAGUUGGCGGGGUAAAGGCCCACCAAGGCGACGAUCCGUAGCUGGUCUGAGAGGAUGAUCAGCAACACUGGAACUGAGACACGGUCCAGACUCCUACGGGAGGCAGCAGUGGGGAAGAUUGGACAAUGGGCGCAAGCCUGAUCCAGCCAUACCGCGUGGGUGAAGAAGGCCUUCGGGUUGUAAAGCCCUUUUGUUGGGAAAGAAAAGCAGCAGGUUAAUACCCCGCUGUUCUGACGGUACCCAAAGAAUAAGCACCGGCUAACUUCGUG
rnacentral:rRNA from 1 species